GAUGAACGCUAGCGGCAGGCUUAAUACAUGCAAGUCGAGGGGCAGCACGGGUAGCAAUACCUGGUGGCGACCGGCGCACGGGUGCGUAACGCGUAUGCAACCUACCUUUAACUGGGGCAUAGCUCCGAGAAAUCGGGAUUAAUUCCCCAUACGAUUCGUUUGAGGCAUCUCAGGCGGAUGAAAGCUCUGGCGGUUAAAGAUGGGCAUGCGUGACAUUAGCUUGUUGGUGAGGUAACGGCUCACCAAGGCUACGAUGUCUAGGGGUUCUGAGAGGAUGAUCCCCCACACUGGUACUGAGACACGGACCAGACUCCUACGGGUGGCUG
rnacentral:rRNA from 1 species